rnacentral:misc_RNA from 1 species
GUGAAUCAUCGAAUUUUUGAACGCAAAUUGCACUCUCUGGUAUUCCGGAGAGUAUGCCUGUUUGAGGGUCAGUUUAAAUAAAAAUCGGUGUGGUUGCUGCCUGUCGUGGUGACACACCGGAUUUUGUUCGUCUUGCCGUCGGUUAAGUGACCUAAAAUUUUGCAUGAUUUUUUUCGAACUUAUUUAAAUAAUUUUACGUACGUUUGCGAUAUAGAAUACUUUGUGUGGUGAUCCUAAUGAUGCGCGCCUAUAAUUUUUUAUGA